GCACAGUUUGCCACAUGAGCACAUACCUGUAAAAAGUAAAAUAUACCAAAUUUGCACUUUAGAAACCAAAGGCAGUAAGACAAGACCUUUGUAAUCAAGAGUGCUAUUUACAGUUUUAUCUUGGUUGACAGUCAAACCCAGUGGCCUCCCGGGGCAUGGGAAGGCUCACGUUUAGCGGACUUCUUAACGCACUGGAUGGAGUUGCUUCUUCAGAAGCUUCAUGACUACUAAUUUUAUUGAGAGACUUGAUCCAGCUCUAAUAAGACCUGGUCGUGUGGAUCUGAAGCAGUAUGUUGGAUAUUGUACACAUUAUCAGCUCACUCAGAUGUUCCGGAGGUUCUACCCACUGGAGUCUGCAGCUGCAGCAAUGGAAGAAGAAUGGCUGUUAUGGGUCUAAGGAGCAGUCUCAGUCCUACACAAAGCUAGGCGUCCCCCCUGUUAAUGGAGUUGGAAGCUGGAAUGUGCAGCUUGUGUUUCACUGGGCAGCAAAAGGAAGUAAAGACAACACUCUGGGACACAGUGGUUUAGAGGGCACACUUAAAUGUUGAUAUGUUAAGUGUCCUUUUUAUUCGUUUACUAUUAACUUGUGUGUUGAAUGGCGGGACUAUGUAAAAAUGGCUGUAAUUCCUAAACAGUUAAUGCAAUAUUUUUGUUAAACCCAUUGAUAACGCUGAAAGUCUACACUUCAGUGACAGCUUGAUUGCCUCUUUUCAAACCAUUGUGGUGGUAUACAGAGGCAACAUUACAAAAAUUGUGUCACUGUCCAUGUGCCACUGUACUUAUGGACCUGACUGUAUACACAUAUAGAAUCAGCUCCAGAAUUAUUGGCUUUGGUAAAGAUGGGUAAAAUAGGGAAUUAAAAAUGUAUUUGUGGUUAAUUAGCUCAGUAUCACCCUAAAAAUAUGACAGAAAGCUAACCUUACCUUUAACUGAAGUUUCACUCACUCACUUUUAGUAACUACUUAUUCUGUUCAGGGUAGCAAUGGAUCUGGAGCCUAUCCUGGAAAAACUGGAUGUGAAGCGGCGAUACACCCUGGAGGAUGUCAGGCCAUUGCAGGGCGACAUGCACACACACAUUCACAUAAUCAUUCACACCUAGGGGCAGUUUAGCACAGGUAAAAUACCUAGUUUGAAUGUUUUUGGGAGGUGGUCUGGACAGCCUAGAGGAAUCCCACAUACACAGAAACUCUGCACAAACUAAGCUAUUAAACUAAUGCAAAGAUACCCGCUGUGCCACCAUGCGGCCCAAAAGCAAAUUUAUUCUAGGGCUACAAAAAAAAAAAACCACUGCAUUUUAGCACUUUGUGCAAACUCUGAGAUGUUUCCUGAAUACACAGUCUCUCCAGAUCCUCCAGGGUCUUUGGUUCUCUCUUGUGGACUCUCCUCUUCAGAUUUAAAAUCUCCCAGCACUUCAUGGAGUCCAUGAUCCUGUGUAUCUUAACAAGAUUCCCAGGGCUUUUAAUAAUGAAGCAGACUGUAAACUGGAUCUCUGAGUCUCCUUGAUGACAGCCUUGAGGUAGAGCAUGCUGUUUAUGUCCUCAGCUGUUGGAAUUUUGUCCCCCUUGAUGAUGCUGUUAACUUCCUGAUACAGUGUGUCCUGUGCCUUUGGAUCUUGUGACAGCAGAACGACCUCCAAGAUCCCAACCAGUCUGGCUUCAAACUGGCACACUCCACAGAGACUGCCCUUUUGGCCGUCACUGAGAAGCUACAUGCUCAUCCUCAUCCUCCUUGACCAUUCAGCAGCGUUUGACACAGUGAACCACAAGACUCUCUUGUCCACCCUCAUGAGCCUAGGAAUUCAUGGUGCAGCAUGGCAAUGGUUGGCUUCCUACCAUAUCAGGUAACAUGGAGGGGAUCCACAUCUGCUCCUCGAAGACUCUCCACUGGUGUUCUACAAGGCUCAGUUCUUGGUCCUCUCCUGUUCUCCCUCUAUACUCAAUCUCUUGACACUCAUGUUUCUGCUCGGAUAUCAGCAUGUCUGGCAGACAUCUCAUCAUGGAUGACAGCUCAUCAUCUGAAACGUAAUCCCACCAAAACUGAUCUGCUGUUCAUCCCAGGUGAUUCAUCCCCAUCUCAGGAUCUUGCAAUCUCCCUAGACAAUUCUCUGAUCUCGCCUUCGUUUACUGCACGCAACCUUGGGGUAACCAUGGGCAAUCAACUGUCCUUUUCCUCUCACAUUGCUAAUCUAACACGCUCAUGUCAAUUUCUCCUUUAUAACAUCAGAAGAAUUCAUCCAUUUCUUUCCACACAGGCCACACAGGUGCUUGUUCAGUCCCUUGUCAUUUCAAGACUGGACUACUGCAACUCACUCCUGGCAGGUCUGCCUCUGAGCGCCAUUCGUCCUCUGCAACUGAUCCAAAAUGCAGCUGCACGAUUGGUUUUCAACCUUCCUAAAUUUUCCCAUACCACCCCAUUGAUGUGCUCCCUCCUGUAGCUGCCCGCAUCAGAUUUAAAACACUGAUGCUUGCCUACACAGCCAAAAACGGACCAGCGCCCACUUAUCUCAAAGCACUUAUCACACCUCACGAGGCACCACGCUCCCUCCGAUCCUCUAGCACUGCUCGACUGGUCCCACCAUCUCUCAGGGUACAAGGAAGGCAUGCAUCGAGACUCUUCUCUUUUCUGGCACCAAGGUGGUGGAAUGAACUUGCCCUAGAUGUCCGAACAGCUGAGUCACUGGCAGUCUUCAAACGACGUCUAAAGACUUACCUCUUCAUAAAGUACUUAAGUUAACUCUUUCACAAAAAAAAAAAAAAUCCCCAACAGAGUUUUGGACUGAUGGUAUUCCUAGUUUGUGACCUAGUGAGCCAAUAUCAGAAUGUAUUUUUGAUAGACUUCAAAGCACUAUUGUAAGUCGCUCUGGAUAAGGGCGUCUGCCAAAUGCCAUAAAUGUAAAUGUAGAUAACAAACAGAUGUGCUAGGCAAAGAAAAAAAUUCAAGUAGAUCACUUAGUCUAAUUUACAAAUGAAAAUAUAUGCAGUUAAAUGCUAUUGUGUAGAUCUGUUUAAUACAAAUGCAUGUAUCUUUUGUUUUUUAAGGAUUUUGCUUUAAGCUGUAAUUAAAUUAAAACAGCAG